rnacentral:rRNA from 1 species
UACGGAGGGUGCGAGCGUUGUCCGGAAUCACUGGGCGUAAAGGGCGCGUAGGCGGCGCGGUAAGCGGGCGGUGAAAGCCCGGGGCUCAACCCCGGGUCGGCCGUGCGGACUGCCGCGCUGGAGCACUGUAGAGGCGGGUGGAAUUCCGGGUGUAGCGGUGGAAUGCGUAGAGAUCCGGAAGAACACCGGUGGCGAAGGCGGUCUGCUGGGGUCGAACUGACGCUGAGGCGCGACAGCGUGGGGAGCAAACAGG